GAAGAAGGAAUAGCUACUAAAUUUUAAAAUCAUGAAUUCUUUUGGUUUAUGAAUUGUUAGUUUUAGAAGUUGGUAUUCGUUUUUAAUAAUAUAUUUAAUCCUUUGGAAAAAGGUAUCAAAGAAGGUGAAAAUCCUGUUUAUAAUAUAUUAAUUGAGGAACAUAUGUAUCUGAUUUCAAGAGUCGGGUUGUUUGGGAAUGCAACCUAAAAUGGGUGGUAAAUCUCAUCUAAAGCUAAAUAUUGAUAGGAGACCGAUAGCAAACAAGUACCGUGAGGGAAAGGUGAAAAGAACUUUGAAAAGAGAGUUAAAAGUACUUGAAAUUGUUAACAGGGAAACGAUAUAAUCCUUUAUACUAUUUGAAUUGAAUCAAUUUUAUCAUAUUUAUUUGUAGUAUUUAUAAUUGCUUGCUUUAUGGGUAUUACUGAUAGAUUGAUAGGAUGC
rnacentral:rRNA from 1 species